rnacentral:rRNA from 1 species
ACCAUGAGAGUUGGGAAUACCCGAAGCCUGUGAGCUAACUGUAAAGAGGCAGCAGUCGAAGGUAGAAUCAAUGAUUGGGUGAAGUCGUAACAAGGUAGC